GGGGGCAGAGGAUCUGAAGCCAGCUCUGUGCUGACAGCAGAGAGCCUGAUGUGAGGCUUGAACUCAACAAACUGAGAUCAUGACCUGAGCCAAAGUUGGACACUUAAACAACGGAGCCACCCAGGUCCCCGCCCCCCCCCCCCCCCAUGUUACAUUUUUUAAAAAGUUUUACUUAUUUAAGUGAUUUAAGUAAUCUCUACACCCAACGUGGGCCUUGAACUCUAGACCCCAAGAUCAAGAGUUGCACUCUUCAGACUGGGCCAGCCAGGCACCCCUUACAUUAAAUUUUUUUAAUAGGUAAGUUUUAAAAAUAGGCUACUGGGGCGCCUGGGUGGCUCAGUUUGUUGAGCGUGUGACUCUUGAUCUCAGCUCAGAUCUUGGAUCUCAGGGUCAUUAGUUGAAUGUGGAGCCUACUUAAAAAAAAACAACAACCAUAAAACAUAAAAUAAACAAAUAAAUAAAAUAGGCUACUUAAAAAUCCCAUGGCAGGGAUUAGGGGUUGGGGAGGGAGUGGCACAUGCCUGGCUAGCUUGGUUAGAAGAGCAUGCAACUCUUGAUCUUGGAGUUGUGAGUUUGAGCCCCACAUUAGGUGUAAAGUUUACUAAUAAAUAAAUAAACUUGGAAAAAAACCCCAUAAAUCUCAAAAUCCUCAGGUGGGCUGGUCUCCCAGAGUGAAUGGAUACAUCCCCAAAGCCAACCAUGGUGAGGACAAGGUUUCUUGGAUGCUUUCAUCUAUUCUAACAUGAGUGGUUUAUUUUCCCAUAUGCCUGUCACUUUUUUU